UUGGGCUAUGGCAUUUGGAUAAACAUCAACAGUGGAUUCAUAAAAGAAAAUCUCUUAGUUGAUACAGAUCUAACAUUGUUUUCCCAACCCAGCCAUAGAACAAGUCACUUGUCGGAGUUUGAAAAAUGCUUUUCGCUACUCUGAUUCUGAGUGUGUUUUUUAUCGUUACAGAAAGCGAAACCGAUCAGAACUCUCUUGAAUUUCAAAGAGCAAAUGGAAUCAACACUACAAUAGAUGGCUACCUACCCCGGUGUCCAGGGUGUGUGGUGUUUGGGAGGGAUCCACUGAUAGUCUAUGGCAAGUUUUAUCUACCAAAGGACAAGUGGCACAUAAUAACGCCAGAUCCCGCGUACAAACGACCUCAACCAUCUUUUGAAGUCUCAUUUUGCGAUUCCGGCUGCGAAGA